rnacentral:misc_RNA from 1 species
CAAGUUCUCAACUGCAUCAAUUUCUUGUUGAUGUGGCUUGGAUGUGGGGGAUUGAUUAUUGCAGGCUUCUGUCAAAGGAGGUCGGCUCCCCUGAAAAACAUUAGUGGUAUCUGAGCAGAAGAAACUACUACAGGUGUGAUAAUUAUCUAUGCCUUUCAGUAUGCUGCAUAAAAACAGAUUGCACUGCUUCUAACUAGUGAAAACCUCUCUACAAGGAGGGGCCACAUUUGACAA